AUGCAUAUUAUUAUAUUCAAUUCAGUUCUUAUUUUUGUGCUUCAUUUUCAAGUGUAAUCUUCUAUAGUUUAUUAGUGUAUGUGGUCAUAGUGUUUUCACCAAAAUGCUCAAACAAAAGUGGUUUGUUCUCGUCUUUGCUUGUCUCCUAAUAAUUUCUCCCAAACCCUAUGCCGUGGAAGCCAGGCAGCUUCUAACCAUACACAAAAAAGGGUACUACUCAAAGGGUGAAGGUUAUUAUGUGAGUUUGGGGGUUGUGUGCAAGUGCUGUGAUGGUAAAGAUGGAAAAUGCAGAAACUCUACUACUUUGGAUGACGCUUGCUCCAACCUUGUGUGCAAACCAUGGAAAUACUAGCUACCUAAGUUAUUAUUAUUAGGAAUAUUAUAUUUUAUAUAUAAAGACACAAUAAAUAGAUCAUGUGAUAGCAACAUCUAUUAUUUAACGAAAGUUGGAUAUUUUUCUUAAAAGAUAAUGAAUGAAUAAAUAAAAUAAGUUCUACAGAA